CGAACCCGCCGGCGGGGCCUGGAGCGCGCGCCCGCGGGGCCGCGCCGGGGAUUUGCGCCCGAGAGAGGCUGGGAGAGGAUCCGGGGGUUGCACCCCCCUGUCAGCUGCCGCAGCCGAGGGCAUCAACUCCUCAUCCCCACGCGCGCUCACAGGCCCCGGAGCCGAGCGAGAGCUACCCUGGGGCCCGUGCCUCCCCUUUCUCCCCUUCCCAACCCCACCCCAAGGAGUGCAGACCCCGCUGGAGGGUGCAGCCCAGGGCCGCUGAGCGCCAACACCCUGCGCCACUUGGAGCAAGUUACGUCGCCUCCCAGAACGUCGGUGCCCUCUUCUGCCAAGUGGCGGUGAUGAGAGGGAGCUUGCGGGGUCGUGAAAGGCCACAGGAAGACCUUGGACAGCAGUGAACAGAGGUGUGAUGUGACCUUGGAGGGAGUUUCAAAGCAGUCUGCGAUGGAAUAUGCUCUUCCCUGUCCUUUGUCCCUCAAAAUCAUCCUCCACCAAAGCCUGAAGACUCCACAUCUCAUCCCCCUGCCCAUCCCGCCCCUGAGUCCAAGAGGACUAGACUCCCUUGGAUAGACCCCUCCCCCUGGCACCUGCCUGGCCCAUUUGCCAUCUCCAAGCCAUGCCCCCCACUCCUUCUCUCCAGCACUGCAGAGUCAUCCUCUCCGGGUGUUGCUGUUGCUUCCAGGCCUUCCUGGUUCCCAGUGGCUCCCUGCUGCCACCUCAUCAGGCCCAGACAGCUCUGCUGGGCUUCCCACCCCUCAUGCCUAGGCCCCACCCAGCUGACCUCAGGGCCCACUGUCUCACCACUCUCUGAGUUCAAGUUCAUUCCUUCCCAGGGGCAGCAUCACAUAGUACACCAUCCCCAACCUUUGCCCUGAGCCUCAGGUCCUACCAGUGCACUUUCUGGGCUGCCUCCUCCAGGAAGUCCUCUGGACUAUCAGGCCCUCGCUCCCCAAACCCACAUGCUCUUAACCCAACAAUCCAGGCUUCGUAAUCUGCUACUUUGUGCUGUUGAUUGACUACUCCACAUGUGUCCUCUUCUUCUCCACACUAUUCUAGUGGGAAGGACCCAGAUGGUACAGUCAGACAGCACUGGAUAGGAAUUCUGGCUUCUGCUACUACGAAUGACCUUGGACAAGUUACAGAACCUUCUGAAUCUCUUUCCUCACCUGUGAAAUGGGAUAAUGAUACCUAUUUCCUAGAGUUGUGAGAAUUAAAUGAGAUGAUGCAAUUAAAGUGCCUCCUAGAGACUAAUAUACAAUAGGUCUAAACCUAUGGUAGUUUGUUCUUUUCCUUCGAGCUCCUAGCGUACUGCUGAACAUACAGUAGGUCCUCAAUAAACACUCGGUGAUGAACGAAAUGAA